rnacentral:tRNA from 1 species
CAGAGAAUAGUUAAAGUGGUAGAAUUUAUCGUUUGGGACGAUAAGGUGUUGGUUCAAAUCCAGCUUCUCUGACUA